rnacentral:rRNA from 1 species
AUUGAACGCUGGCGGCAGGCCUAACACAUGCAAGUCGAACGGUAACAGGAAGCAGCUUGCUGCUUUGCUGACGAGUGGCGGACGGGUGAGUAAUGUCUGGGAAACUGCCUGAUGGAGGGGGAUAACUACUGGAAACGGUAGCUAAUACCGCAUAACGUCGCAAGACCAAAGAGGGGGAAAUUCGGGCCUCUUGCCAUCGGAUGUGCCCAGAUGGGAUUAGCUAGUAGGUGGGGUACCGGCGCAACUAGGCGACGAUCCCUAGCUGGUCUGGGAGGAUGACUAGCCACACUGGAACUGAGACACGGUCCAGACUCCUUCGGGAGGCACCAGUGGGGAAUAUUGCACCAUGGGCGCAAGCCUGAUGCAGCCAUGCCGCGUGUAUGAAGAAGGCCUUCGGGUUGUAAAGUACUUUCAGCGGGGAGGAAGGGAGUAAAGUUAAUACCUUUGCUCAUUGACGUUACCCGCAGAAGAAGCACCGGCUAACUCCGUG